GGGGCAGCCUACAUNCAGNUCGAACGGANCAUCCCGUCGAUGCGAUUUCGGUCAAGUCAAGGGAUGUUUUAGUGGCGGACGGGUGAGUAACGCGUGGGCAACCUGCCUUACACCGGGGGAUAACACUUAGAAAUAGGUGCUAAUACCGCAUAACAGGAGAACAUGCAUGUGUUUUCCUUGAAAACCACGGUGGUGUAAGAUGGACCCGCGUCUGAUUAGCUUGUUGGCAGGGUAACGGCCUACCAAGGCGACGAUCAGUAGCCGGCCUGAGAGGGUGAACGGCCACAUUGGGACUGAGACACGGCCCAAACUCCUACGGGAGGCAGCAGUGGGGAAUAUUGCACAAUGGGGGAAACCCUGAUGCAGCGACGCCGCGUGAGUGAAGAAGUAUUUCGGUACGUAAAGCUCUAUCAGCAGGGAAGAAAAUGACGGUACCUGACUAAGAAGCCCCGGCUAACUACGUGCCAGCAGCCGCGGUAAUACGUAGGGGGCAAGCGUUAUCCGGAUUUACUGGGUGUAAAGGGAGCGUAGACGGCAGCGCAAGUCUGGAGUGAAAUCCCAUGGCUUAACCAUGGAACUGCUUUGGAAACUGUGCAGCUGGAGUGCAGGAGAGGUAAGCGGAAUUCCUAGUGUAGCGGUGAAAUGCGUAGAUAUUAGGAGGAACACCAGUGGCGAAGGCGGCUUACUGGACUGUAACUGACGUUGAGGCUCGAAAGCGUGGGGAGCAAACAGGAUUAGAUACCCUGGUGGUCCACGCUGUAAACGAUGAUUACUAGGUGUUGGGGGACCAAGGUCCUUCGGUGCCGUCGCAAACGCAUUAAGUAAUCCACCUGGGGAGUACGUUCGCAAG
rnacentral:rRNA from 1 species